GAUGAACGCUGGCGGCGUGCCUAAUACAUGCAAGUCGAGCGAACAGACGAGGAGCUUGCUCCUCUGACGUUAGCGGCGGACGGGUGAGUAACACGUGGAUAACCUACCUAUAAGACUGGGAUCACUUCGGGAAACCGGAGCUAAUACCGGAUAAUAUAUUGAACCGCAUGGUUCAAUAGUGAAAGACGGUUUUGCUGUCACUUAUAGAUGGAUCCGCGCUGCAUUAGCUAGUUGGUAAGGUAACGGCUUACCAAGGCAACGAUGCGUAGCCGACCUGAGAGGGUGAUCGGCCACACUGGAACUGAGACACGCUCCAGACUCCUACGGGAGGCAGCAGUAGGGAAUCUUCCGCAAUGGGCGAAAGCCUGACGGAGCAACGCCGCGUGAGUGAUGAAGGUCUUCGGAUCGUAAAACUCUGUUAUUAGGGAAGAACAAAUGUGUAAGUAACUAUGCACGUCUUGACGGUACCUAAUCAGAAAGCCACGGCUAACUACGUG
rnacentral:rRNA from 1 species